GGAGAGGUGACAGAGUGGCCGAAUGUGCACGAUUGGAAAUCGUGUGUGCCAGAGAUGGCACCGAGGGUUCGAAUCCCUCUCUCUCCGCCA
rnacentral:tRNA from 1 species